rnacentral:rRNA from 1 species
GACGAACGCUGGCGGCGUGCUUAACACAUGCAAGUCGAACGGAAAGGCCCUGCUUUUGUGGGGUGCUCGAGUGGCGAACGGGUGAGUAACACGUGAGUAACCUGCCCUUGACUUUGGGAUAACUUCAGGAAACUGGGGCUAAUACCGGAUAGGAGCUCCUGCUGCAUGGUGGGGGUUGGAAAGUUUCGGCGGUUGGGGAUGGACUCGCGGCUUAUCAGCUUGUUGGUGGGGUAGUGGCUUACCAAGGCUUUGACGGGUAGCCGGCCUGAGAGGGUGACCGGCCACAUUGGGACUGGGUUACGGCCCAGACUCCUACGGGAGGCAGCGGUGGGGAAUAUUGCACAAGGGGCGGAAGCCUGAGGCAGCAACGCCGCGUGCGGGAUGACGGCCUUCGGGUGGUAAACCGCUUUCGCCUGUGCCGAAGCGUGAGUGACGGUAUUGGGUAAAGAAGCACCGGCUACCUACGG